rnacentral:rRNA from 1 species
AGCCGGCCUGAGAGGGUGACCGGCCACACUGGAACUGAGACACGGUCCAGACUCUUACGGGAGGCAGCAGUGGGGAAUAUUGCACAAUGGGCGAAAGCCUGAUGCAGCGACGCCGCGUGAGGGACGACGGCCUUCGGGUUGUAAACCUCUUUCAGCAGGGACGAAGCGAAAGUGACUGUACCUGCAAAAGAAGCACCGGCUAACUACGUGCCAGCAGCCGCGGUAAUACGUAGGGUGCAAGCGUUGUCCGGAUUUAUUGGGCGUAAAGAGCUCGUAGGCGGUUUGUCGCGUCGGAUGUGAAAACCUAUGGUUUAACCAUGGGCCUGCAUUCGAUACGGGCAGACUAGAGUUCGGUAGGGGAGACUGGAAUUCCU